CCUACGGGGGGCUGCAGUCGAGAAUCUUCCGCAAUGGACGAAAGUCUGACGGAGCGACGCCGCGUGCGGGAUGAAGGCCCUUGGGUUGUAAACCGCUGUCAGAGGGGAUGAAAUCUUCGGAGGUACUCCUCCGAAGUUGACAGAGCCUCAAAGGAAGCACGGGCUAAGUACGUGCCAGCAGCCGCGGUAACACGUACUGUGCGAACGUUAUUCGGAAUCACUGGGCUUAAAGGGUGCGUAGGCGGCGAUUCAAGUCAGAUGUGAAAUGCCUGAGCUCAACUGAGGCAUUGCGUUUGAAACUGAACCGCUAGAGUAUUUCAGGGGUGUGCGGAACUGCCAGUGGAACGGUGAAAUGUGUUGAUAUUGGCAGGAACACCGGAGGCGAAAGCGGCACACUGGGGAAUAACUGACGCUGAGGCACGAAAGCCAAGGGAGCGAACGGGAUUAGAUACCCCAGUAGUC
rnacentral:rRNA from 1 species